AGACGUGACGUGACAACAUGAAGACUGUGAUCGUGGCCCUUUUGGUAGUGCUGGUCGUCAGCCACAGUGAAGCUUUAAGGUGUAACUGUGGAGGCAGGGCUUAUUGUUCAAGCUCUCAGGAAACCUGCUCUGAUUCAAACCAUGUUUGUAUCAGCUUUGUGUUUCUUACCCCUGAUCUUGGCUACUUCAAGAAUUGCUACAAGGCACUUGAUUGUGCAACAUUAAUUAAUUCUGGGUUAGGAUCUGGUAGAUGUUGCCACACUGACCUGUGCAACUGAUAAAAGAACGCCGUGCAGCACAUCUGCCAAUGAAUGAAUAAUCCACUGCCAUGCAGUGUUUACUGCAUUGUCCUAAUAAAGUUUAUUCAUUUCAAA